rnacentral:rRNA from 1 species
GUACGCUGGCGGCACGCCUUAUACAUGCAAGUCGAACGAAGUAGCAAUACUUAGUGGCAGACGGGUGAGUAACAUGUAGGUAUCUUCCCUUUGGUGAGGAAUAACACGAGGAAACUUGUGCUAAUACCUCAUAAGUCUUCACGGAGAAAGCUUUAUGCGCCGAAGGAUGAGCCUGCACUUGAUUAGUUUGUUGGUGGGGUAAUGGCCUACCAAGACUGUGAUCUAUAGCUGAUCUGAGAGGAUGAUCAGCCACAUUGGGACUGAGACACGGCCCAAACUCCUACGGGAGGCAGCAGUAGGGAAUAUUGCACAAUGGAGGAAACUCUGAUGCAGCGAUGCCGCGUGAGUGAAGAAGGCCUUUGGGUUGUAAAGCUCUUUCGUCGGGGAAGAAAAUGACUGUACCCGAAUAAGAAGGUCCGG